CUGCUGUGGCUGAGCUGUGCGACCCCAAACCAGGAGACAGGUGAGGAGCCCAGCUGGCAGCUGAAAGGAACCUGGCUUCUAGUCUCUUUCAUUCAUUCAUUCAAUCAUUUUUGUUCCUGGCAUGAUUUACCUCCCAAGGGCUAAUGCUAAUUUAUUAAUUAAUUAAAGAGUUCAUUUACUCAGCACCUACUUGUGCUUAAUGUGGCUCCUCUGCGUACAGAUCAUCUUCAUAUUUCUGAGAUGUGGAUUAGCUGGGAGGGUCUGCUUUGGUUGGGGAUCCCCGAGGAGUGUCCAAAGGAGAUUCCUGUGAGUAGAGGCAGCAUGGGGCUCUGGAAUGUGCACUGUGGGGGAGGCAGAAGGGAAGGUGGUGUGACAAAGCCUAGAUCCAGAUUAAUAGGCAGGCUCAAGGGGCAACUGCCAGGCACCAACUGAUGUGGUUUGCUAAAAUACCCCUGGAAACGCAGUGGGAUGAUAAAGCGGUGUUUAUUAGAAUGCCUUUUGGGAGAAAACUAAAUGUCAUUGUUAGGGAUACUUUUUGUGGGAAUGGGAGCCUCCAGGGGUGUGCUUAAGUAACAACAUCUAUGCUAUUAAAUUGUUUUGUGUAGAGGACUUCUGGGGAAGGGCAGGACUUCAGUUUUGCUGAGGGGAAUUUGCAGGUUUGGGGCUGGAGCAGGAUCAGUGGGAACUGCAGAGGGAGGAGGAGGCUGCCCAGGGCCCCCUUUCCACACCCUUCCUCAGCACGCUCGCCCUCUUCUCUAUAAAAUUGUCAAAUAUGUUUCAGGAGUAUUGCUCUGGAGGGGCGCAAACUAUCAGCAGGUUCUAUUAUUAGGUUCUUCACCCACUCCUUUCUGGGCUCCAGAACUUGUCACUUUUACUAGCCUCUCGGUCUGAGGCCAACAGGAUGGUCACUUGAGCUAUAUUGCCUGCUCACUAGGAAGCCAUUUCCUAGCGGUUCACUGCUUCUCUAUCACAUCCCAUGGCUGUCGCCUCUUAACCUGCACUGAUCAUACAGCAUGGUGAUGUUCUGGUUACUUGUAGUUUGAUGACACUGUUCACUAGACUGAGCUCCUGGAAAGUGUUUUUUUUGUAGGGUCUGGUGGCGCAGGGCACUAGAAUAUAUGUCCCUGAUCCACCAUGGUACCUGGCUCAGAGAGCCACUCAAUAGAAUAAAAUGAGGGACACUUGGGUGGCUUAGUCUAUUAGGCAUCUGGCUUUUGGUUUUGGCUCAGGUCAUGAACUCAUGGUUCAUAAGUUCGAGCUCCACACUGGGCUCUACACUGACUGUGGGGAGCAUGCUUGGGAUUUUCUCUCUCCUCUCUCUCUGCCCCUCCCCAGCUCGUUCUGUCUCUCUCUCUCUCAAAAUAAAUAAACUUAAAAAAUAGAAUAAAAUGAAUGAAUGAAUGAAUGAAUGAGUGAAUGGGUGCUUGGUCUCUUAUGCUGUCAUUUUUGUGAUAGAACCAGUCAGGACUGUUGGAAGCUAUAACUGUCUCCUGACCUUGGACACUGUGGGAACUCCAGUGUGAGCCCAAAUUCAAUUCAGAUAUAUAUUUUUUAAUUUUUUUAAAGUGUUUAUUUAUUUUUGAGAGAGAGAGAGAGAGAGAGAGAGAGAGAGUGCAAGUAGGGCAGGGGCAGAGAGAGAGAGGGAGACACAGAAUCUGAAGCAGGCUCCAGGCUCUGAGCUGUCAGCACAGAGCCCAACGUGGGGCUUGAACUCACAGACUGCAAGAUCAUGACCUAAGCUGAAGUAGGACGCUUAACUGACUAAGCCACCCAGGCAACCCUCAAUUCAGAUAUUUUGAAUUAAAUUGAAUAAAAAUUAUUUGACAGCAGAACUACAGUGAUGCAUUUCUUACCUUGGGUGAGCUGGUAGGGAAGACAGAUAUACCUCCAGAAAGAAGGCUGUAAUAACAGACAGGGAUUAAUGCUAUGUUAGAAGCUAAAAUCAAUAGGUUUUAAGAGUAAAAGGAAAGAGUUAAUCCCAAUAAAUGUAGUUAAUCCCUUCUAUCCCAGGUGGGCUCGGGGGCAGGGCGGGGGCUAGGGGGUAGGAGAUGUGUUGGAAGGCCUUUCAGAAUAGAUCAAAUUUAUUUAAAAUUUUUUUUCUUGUGGAAGUUUUCUAAUUUUUUUAAAUGUUUAUUUUUUUUUAUUUUUUUUUUUUUAUUUUUUUUAAAAUUUUUUUUUUCAACGUUUUUAUUUAUUUUUGGGACAGAGAGAGACAGAGCAUGAACGGGGGAGAGGCAGAGAGAGAGGGAGACACAGAAUCGGAAACAGGCUCCAGGCUCUGAGCCAUCAGCCCAGAGCCCGACGCGGGGCUCGAACUCACGGACCGCGAGAUCGUGACCUGGCUGAAGUCGGACGCUUAACCGACUGCGCCACCCAGGCGCCCCUAAAUGUUUAUUUUUGAGAGAGAGACAGAGUGCAAGCAGGGGAGGGGCAGAGAGAGAGGGAGACAAAGAAUCUAAAGCAGGCUCCAGGCUCUGAGCGGUCAGUGCAGAGCCCAACACAGGGCUCAAACUCAUGAACCCGGAAAUCGUGACCUGGGCUGAGGUCAGCCCCUUAACCGACUGAGCCACCCAGGUGCCCCCUUAUGGAAAUUUUCAAACACACACAAAAAGAGAGAGAAUAAUAUAAUGAACCUACUGUUCUUAUUGGCUAAUUUAAAAAUUAUCAACAUUUUGCCCAAAUUCUCAUCCACCAUAUUAAAAAAUAUAACCACAAUACCUUAUGAAAGAUGAAAUAAUUAAAAUAAUUACUACCAUUAAAAAAAUUUUUUAAUGUUUAUUUUUGAGAGAGAGAGAGAAACAGAGUGUGAGCGGGGGAGGGGCAGAGAGAGAGGGAGACACAGAAUCCGAAGCAGGCUCCAGGCUCUGAACUGUCAGCUCGGAGCCCAACGCAGGGCUCAAACCCACAGACCGCAAGAUCAUGACCUGAGCUGAAGUCAGAUGCUUAACCGACUGAGCCACCCAGGCGCCCCUACUUACUACCAUUUAAUACCUAUUCAUAUUUCUCCAACUUUCAAAAAGACUUUUUUGCAACUGGCUUAUUUAACCAGGACCCAAACAAGGCCCACACAUUACAUUUACUGGUAUAUUUCUUUUUAUUUAUUUAUUUAUUUAUUUAUUUAUUUAUUUAUUUAUUUUACUGGUAUAUUUCUUAAGCCUCUUCAAAUCUAUCAGUCCUCUUUUCCUUUUUUUCAUGCUGUUUUUAGUUGAUGGAACCAGUAAAAAGUUCUAUAUUCUGGAUUUAUCUGAUUGAAUCUAUGUGGCUGUCUCUCUGUCCUCUGCAUUUCCUGAAACCUGGUAAUUAAGGUUCAUUUACUUUGGCAAGAAUAUACCAUAGGUGGGGCUGUGUACUUGCUAUUGCAUCUCGAAGGAGACACACAAAGUCCAGUGGUCCCACUUUACUGUGUUAAAUAAACUUGAUCAAACAAAUGCAAUCUGCGGUAGGUCCAUUAUAAAUUUUUUUUUUUAACGCUUAUUUAUUUUUGAGACAGAGAGAGACAGAGCAUGAACGAGGGAGGGUCAGAGAGAGAGGGAGACACAGAAUCUGAAACAGGCUCCAGGCUCUGAGCCAUCAGCCCAGAGCCUGACGCGGGGCUCGAACUCACGGACCGCGAGAUCGUGACCUGAGCUGAAGUUGGACAUUUAACCAACUGAGCCACCCAGGCGCCCCUGUGGUAGGUCCAUUAUAGACAUCCCCCCUCAACCUUUCUCUAAUGGUUUUAACCUCCACUGAUGAUUGUUGCAUAGAUCCAUUUUUUUCAUUAGGGGUUGCCAAACGCUGGCUUUCCGAUUCUGUCACUCCUUCUGCACUUAUUAGCUGCAGUUCUUCUAUAAAGACUUUUCCCUUGUCAUUUACUUGGUUUGUAUGGAAAGGCUGGAUAAAUAUUUAAUUCUUCAUUUAUCAUUUUCAGAAUAACGGGCUUGUUCCUUAGCAACCCAGGGAAGAUUGAAUUUAAACAUGACCUUGAAGAAUAAGAAUGUUUUCUUUUAGUGGCUAUGAGAGGGAAGGGCCUUUCACAUAAAGGAAACAGCUUGAGCAAAGGCUCCAAAGCAGGAGUAUUCAGGGUGUUUAGAGAAUGGCAGAGAUUAGUAGCAAGUGCAACAAGAGGCUUUUUGAAUGAGAAGCCUGGUGUGGUGGAAACGGCAGGGAAGAAGUCAGGAUUGCUGGUUCUACUCCCAGCUCAAGUACGACCUUCAGAAAAUGACUUUUCCAUUUCUAGAUCAGAGACUUUCACACUUUUCUGGCCACAAUCUACAUUAAUAAAUAUAUUUUGCACUAUUAUUCAGUACAUACAUACAGGUAUAUAAAAACGAAAAUUUCAGAAAGAACCAUAAACAGCUUACACUUACAUAUACAAUGUAUGCUAUGCUAUGCUGUUCUGUUCUGUUCCAUUCCAUUUCAUUCCAUUCCAUCUUAUUAAAAUAAAUGAUGUUCAUGGGGUGCCUGGGUGGUUCAGUCGGUUAAGCAUCUGACUUCGCCUCAGGUCAUGAUCUCACUGUUGGUGACUUCGAGCCCCACGUCGGACUCUCUACUGUCAGCGCAGAGCCUACUUUGGAUCCUCUGUCUCCCUCUCUCUCUGCCCCUCCCCUGCUUGUGUGCUCUCUCUCUUUCUCUCUCUGUCUCUCUCAAAAUAAAUAAGUAAAGUUAAAUAAAAUAAAUGCUGGUCAUGAUCACGGAAUUGAUCUCUGACUCACAAAUGGGCUACAGCACUUGUUUGGAUGGUCUCUGGGGCUCUUUUCCACCUCCAGCCCUCUUUGAUCCAUCCUUGGCAUUGGUGACAACCUGACACUGAACCAGGCACUUGGGAAGAGGGAGGAUGUGAGAAGAGGAACUACUCAUUUGCAGGAGGCUCCCAGCUCAGCAUGAGACAGAAGCCAGGCCAAACUCAAAGGCCACCACCCAGCCUGGCCCGCCAUCACCUUGAGAGGUCUGACCUCCCAGGCCACCGCCCCCCUUUCAUCAGACACCUGCCAGCCCCUCUUUCCAUAACAGGCUGGGCGAGCCACACCUAACCCCACGUCCUCUCAGGGGCCUACUCCCUGUUGAUCGCAUCAACUUUGGAAGGCCCUCAAGUUUAUGCCUAAACAAAGCCCCAGGCAGGUGCUAACCUAACAGGAGCUGAUUCCAUGGGUCAGGAACAGCACUGAGAGUCCUGGGUAUAAGAACACCUGGGGCUCAUUCCCAUCUGACUCACCAGAUGACCUCGGCCACGUCCCUACCUGCCAAUGCCUUGUUUUCCCCUUCCCUUAAAAAAAGAUGAACCCCCUCGCUUGGUAGUGGAUAUACACUGGUCAGAUAUAAUUGAAUUGAGCAACUUGGGAAAAUGAUCAGAAUUAAGGUUGAUGUUGGGACCAUGGAGACCUUCCUCUAACUUUGUGGGAGUUUUGUUGGUCCUUCUUGUCACAUUUCUGUUGUUUUCUCUCUUGCUUCUCUGUCUUCCUUGCUGUCACACCCCUGCCACCCUCCUCAUUCACCCUCCUCAUUCACCCUCUCUCAUUCAUCUCUUUCUCUCAGCCCCGACUCAUUCUUGUGCCUCUGUUUUUAAUAACAGCUUUCCUGGGAUAUAAAUCAUGGAACAUAAAAGUCAUCCUUUUAAAAGUGUACAGUUCAGGGGGUUUUAGUAUGUUCACAGAGUCGUGCGAACCACUGUCUAAUUUCAGAACAUUUCUUCAUUCCCAAAGGAGACCCUGUACCCAUUAGCAGUCACUACCUGCUCCCCAUACUUCCCGGCCCCCCGAGAACCAUUAAUCUACUUUCUGUCUCUAUGGACUUCCAUAUUGUAGACAUUUCACUUAAAAGGAAUCAUACAGUGUGUGGCCUUUUGUGGCUGACUGCUUCCACUUAGCAUCAUGUUUCAGGGUUCAUCCACAUCGUAGCAUGUGUCAGAACUUCAUUCCUUUUUGGGGGCUGACUGGUAUACCAUAUUUUGUUUUAUCCAUUCAUCAGUUGAUGGACAUUUGAAAUGGUUCCACUUUGGGGUUCUUAUGAAAAAUGCUCCCAUGGACAUACAUGCACAGGUUUUUAUGUGAGCAUGUAUUUUCACUUCUCUUAAGUAUAUACCCAGCAGUGGGAUUGCUGCAUUGUAUGGUUUUCACUCUAAAUUAAACAUUCUGAGGAACUGCCAAACUGUUUUUCUCUGUUUUUCAGAGUGGCUGCACCAUUUUUCAAGUCCACCAGCAGUGGAUGGUGUUCCAAUUUCUCCACAUUCUCACCAACACCUGUUUCCUAAUGGGUGUGAAAUGGUGUCUCCUUUGUGGUUCUGAUUUGCUUCUCCUUGAUAACAAAUGUUGUUGAGCAUCCUUUUGUGUGCUUGUUGCCUACUGGUAUAUCUUCUUUGGAUAUAUCUUUCACCCAUUUAAAAAUUGGGUUAUUUGUCUUUUUGUUGUUGUUGUUGUUGAGCUGUAGGAGUUCUUUACAUAUUCUGGAUAAAAUUCUCUCAUCACAUGUAUGAUUUGCAGAUAUUUUCUCCCAUUCCAUGGGUUGUCUUUUCACUUUCUUGAUACUAUCCUCGGAAGCACAAAACUUUAAAAUUUCAAUCAAGUCCAGUGUAUAUUUUUCUUUUGUUGCUUGUGCUUUUGGUGUCAUAUCUGGGAAACUAUUGCUUCGUCCAAGGCCAUGAUCAUUUACAUCUAUGGUUUCACCUAAGAGUUUUGUAGUUUUGACUCUUACGUUUAGGUCUGUGAUCCAUUUUAAGUUAAUUUUUAUGUAUGGUAUGAGGUAGAGGUCCAAAUCCAUUCCUUUGCACACGGAUAUCCAGUUGUCCCAGUGCCAUUUGUUACAACUGUCUCUUUUUAUUUUAAAAAUUUUUAAAUAUUUAUUUAUUUUUGAGAGAGAGAGAGACAGAGUGUGAGUGGAGGAGGGGCAGAGAGAGAGAGAGAGGGAGACACAGAACCCGAAACAGGCUACAGGCUCUGAGCUGUUAGCACAGAGCCUGAUGUGGGGCUCGAAUUGGGGAACGGCCAGAUCAUGACCUGAGCUGAAGUUAGAGGCUUAACUGACUGAGCCAUCAGGUGCCCCAUACCUGUCUCUUUUUAAUGUCCCCUUUUUCUGCAGGCAGCUGCUCCCAACCCCAGCCCCUCUGCUGCUUUGGAACAGAUCACCACUGCAAGAGAGGAAGCUGCUACUGUGAUGAAUUCUGCCACGAGGUGUCAGACUGCUGCCCAGACCACCGCACCCUGUGCACCCUGGAUAACUCACAUGCAGGCUCCUUCCCACCCCUGGCGGAGCCGGAUGCUGUGAUGGACAGAGGCAAGCCCCUUGCUUGUACUUCAGGCCAAGGCCAGGAUGUGGACUGGAUGCCUCCUGAGGGCCCUGAUAAUCCUGAGAUCCUCACAUUUGGUCCAUUUCGUACCAAAAGUGCCCACAUAUUCCUCCCAGCUUUGUUUCCCCACUGCUCCUGACCACCUGCUGCUCCCCUCUGAGCUCCUUUCCCAGAUCCCCACAGGGAGAGGCUAAGCUGUUGGUGGUUGGGGAUCAGGGUGGCGAGUGAGGUGGUUGGGUCACCUAACUGCCCCCGCAUCUCUUGCAACAUAGAUGCCUCUUGACCUGACCCAUGUAGACUUUUGAGGGAAGACAGGAGUCUGCAGAGAGGUGCUAGGGAUGUUACAUAGGAGGAGGGAGACUGGGAGUCAGGGAGGAGGCCAGGAGCUUUUGCUUUGUGUUUCUCAGCUUCUCAGAAUACCAAGAUGGUGCUGCAGAUGGUGCUGAGGAGGGAGACCCCCCCGAGCCCUGCAAGAAGCAACCUAGACUGGAUACAGAAUGUGGUGAGUACCCUGGUGGUUCUCCCGGAAGGGGUGCUGACAACCUGCUCCUGCCUCCCUGGCCUGUAGACCCCAGAGUCAGGGAACCACUACCAAGGGGGGAAAGAGACCUGAGCUGGGGCACAGCUCCACGGUUUUAGGGCUAGGAGCCAUGGUAUCUGACCAUGGACACUGACACCUGAAUUUCAUAUAAUUUUCAUGUGUCAUGACAUAUUCUUUUGACUUUUUUCAACCACUUAAAAUAUAAAAAACAUUCUUAACUUGUGAUCUGCACACACACACACACACACACACACACACACACACACACAAACCUGCAACAAGUCAGACUUGGCCCACGGAUUGUGGUUGGCUGCUCUCUGCCCUAAAUCAUCCUUUGUUCUUUACUUUUCGUUUGGGUCGUGACUUCAGCACUGACCUGUCCAGAGCUCUCUGCCCAGAACUGGAGCAGAGGCUUCAGUCCCCACUCUAGCAUAUUAUGACCAUUGGGCAGAAAGAAAGGCAGCAUGGUACAAGGAAAGAGCAUGGACUCGGGAGCCAGCAAGACCUGGGUUCAAAUCCUGUCUCUACCACUUAUUACCUGGAUGAUUACUGGAUGACCUGAAGUAACUUCUUCUGCCUUUCUGAGCUUCCCUUUCCUCAUCUGUGUCCCAGAGCUUGCCCUGUAGAGCUGUUACAAAAGGGCCUUGGUAGAUGUACAACGAGACAUAGCUAUUAUUUGGGGACAUGCAAAUAAGCUGCAGAGGGUGUAGGCCUUCGCUUCCUGCUCACUUAGGUCCAGCAGCUUCUGCACACCAGCCUCCCAGGGAGGCCCCUCUCCAUCUCCAUGAAGAAAAUCAAGAAGAGAGCCUGACAUCUCCCAUGAAGCUCCUCCAGGGCCCUGUGAUGCAGAGCCCACCCUAUUCCCCUCCCCCAGCAUCCCCAGGUCUGCUGGGGCCUUACCACUGGGCCCACUGUGCUUGUCUCUUGGUUUCUAUCCUGCGUGCUUCUAUAUUGGUUCAACCAGAGGAAGACGGAAAUCUGCAAUAGUCAUAAACACAUUUAAAUCAGCCAUACAUGGCUGGGUGGCUCAGUCAGUUGAGUAUCCAAAUUCAGCUCUGGUCAUGAUCUCACAGUUCAUGAGUUCAAGCCCUGCAUUGGGCUCUGUGCUUACAGCCCAAAGCCUGGAGCCUGCUUCGGAUUCUGUGUCUCCCUCUCUCUCUGCCCCUCCCCUGCUCUCUCUCUCUCUCACUCUCUCUCUCAAAAUAAAUGAACAUUAAAAAAAUUAAAUCAGCCAUACAGAUUAUAAAACAUAAAUUUGGCUCAUUGUAUUCAUUGUUUGUGGUGGUUAUAAUGAAUAUAGUAACUGUUUCUUGAAAGCAGAAGGCGAGAACCUAGCACCCCUUUGGCUAAGUGAUCUGUGCCUCCUUCUUCAGUAUUCCUUCCCAGGUAUCAUGUGACCACCUCUAAAUCCCAAAAUAGCCUGGUCUGAUCCCUAGCCUCGUGUUCACCUACUUUUCUUCCCAUGGUAAAAAGAGGCAGGGUGACCUUCUUCUAGUGGGUUGGGAUUGGCUUUCUGGGAGUUUCCUUGUGUGAGGAUUUCAAAACUCCAGGAGAGUGAUGCCAGGGGGUUUUGGGGUCUGUUGAACCCAUUGCCUUCCCUCUCAGACCUGCUCCUCCCCCUGUUUGGUGAAUGGUUCCCUACCCUUCAGCUUCCUGCACUCCAGGCCUUAGGGUCUUCUUUUUCUUCUCUCUGCCUGUGGCCUUCCUCUGCAAGGUGACAAGUCUUUCUAGUUCUACUUCACAACACGGUUCAUUUCUGCUCCUCCUAUACUCCAAUUGCCAAAGUCCCAGGUCACAGCGUCCUAACUGGUCCUCUUGCCCCCGGGAUCUCCCCUAACUGGUCUCUGUCCCCAGUUUACUGCCCACAGCAGAGUUCUGGUGUUGCCAGUUCCUCAUUCAGAAACCACCACUGGCUUCCCAUUGUCUCCAGAACAAAAGCUAACCUCCCACAUAUGGCUACAAAGCCCUCCACAGCAUGAGCCCAAGGCACAUUUCUGGCUUUAUCUGCUAUAAGUCCCUUUCCCCACUCCUAUGUUCUACCUAAAUAGAAUGACCCAUUAUCCCUGUCCAUGCCUUCCUCCAGGCUUUGGCUAAUCUGAACACUGGUUUCUAAGUAAAUGAUUAUAGCAAAGGAGGUCCUGUCAAAGUCCAGUUAUUGGCUCUAUUGGUUCUAUUUUAGCUUAGUUUCUCUGAAUAACUUAUUUGGGAACAGAACUCCAAGGAACAGGUGAGGGAAAAGGGAAGUGAUGCAGAGAAGAAGGGAGACCCAACACAAAGAUGCAUUAUUCAGUUGGCCCCCACUAUGGCUGAUUAGUUGCUUGAUCCUGUGGGACUUUUUUUUUUUUAAUUUUUUUUAACGUUUAUUUAUUUUUGAGGCAGAGAGAGACAGAGCAUGAACGGGGGAGGGGCAGAGAGAGAGGUAGACACAGAAUCUGAAACAGGCUCCAGGCUCUGAGCUGUCAGCACAGAGCCCGACGCGGGGCUUGAACUCACGGACCGUGAGAUCAUGACCUGAGCCGAAGUCGGACACUUAACCGACUGAGCCACCCAGGCGCCGAUCCUGUGGGACCUUUUAAAAAAAUCUUAUGAAAUGUUUCAGAGAACCAUCUGUCCUGGGGAUGGAAUAGGAAGCAUCUGUCCAUUGCCUCCCAUUCUCAUGGUUUAUAGGUUGCUCCACUAGUCGCUAACUCUUUCAGUUCUUUGUUGGUGGUAUGUGAGAGCAGAGCAGCUCUUGGAAGCAUCCCAAGCCUUGGCAUCAGGGAAACCCUGGCAGAGAGCAAAUGGAACAUGGCAAGGCACUGCCUCACCACUCCUGGAAAAGUAGUCACCGUAGCAAUGGCUGGAGUAGGAAGCAAGGCCAAAAGGACUUGAAUGGUGUACAAAAGGUGUUCUACCUACUGGCUUUUGGGAACACAUGCUUUAUCCCUCUAGCUCUUCCAACCACAGAUUUCUUCUCCUGCCUAGGGAUGGAGGAGCCUGGGUGAGGAGACAUCCCUGGGCCCUGUUUGGAAGAACUGGUCUCAUACAUCCAGACCUAGUGGUCUCUCUCCCUUCCUUGCUAGGGAGUACUUUUCAAGUAAGGCUCUGUGGGAUGUGGCCUCUCCAGUUGGGAUCAUCCUGUGGGCCUCACAGAAAGCCCAAAGAUGUUGAUUUAUGGGCUCUUUUCCCUCUCUUCACUCAGUGAUUAUUUUCCUUCCAAAUGUCCAGAAACUCCAUCUCUUUUAAUUGCUCCUAUAUCAUCCUUUCAUCCCAGAUAGGAUGAACAGAGUUAGGUUAUUCCAAACUGAAGAAACUGUUUCUGAGAUGUCCCAAUACUGGUACAGCUUCCUCUCUAGUUGAGUGUACACGUGUGUGCAUAUGUGCAUGCAUAUUUCAUUUCUAUCUGGCUCUCCAUCUUCCCUCCCCAUCUUCCAAAUAUCUUCCCUAUGAAAGUCAUUUCCCUGGCAGCAGCAUACUACCAGGGAAAAGCCCUGGAAAAACAGAGGGUCUGCAUUACCAGCCCUGCCUGGUAUUUAAUUUAAUGCAAAUUAAAAUUACAAAGAGAAAUUAAUAUUCAUAACGAUGUCUAAAAUUACAAGGCCUGAUGAUAGCAAGUGUUGAUGAGAAUGUGGAGCAACUGGAACUCUUAUAUGUUGCUGGUAUAGCCGAAGCUGGCACAAUCAAUUUGGAAAACUGUUGGAUACUAUAUACUAAAGCUAAACACAUGUAUGCCCAAUGACCCAGCAAUUCCACUCAUAUAUAUAUAUAUAUAUAUAUAUAUAUAUAUAUACCCAAAACAAAUGCAAGACUGUUCAUUGCAGCUUUAUCCAGAAUAGUGAAAAACUGGAAACAACUCAAAUGUCCAUCAAUAGGAAAAUGGAUAAAUAAAUGGUGGUGUAUUUUAUACAAUGGAAUACUAUCUAACAACAAAAAAGUACUGUUACACGCAACAUGAGUGAGUUUCACAGGCAUAAUGUUAAGAAAAAGAAGCCACACACGAACGAGUGUGUAUUCAUAAUUCCAUUUACAUGAAGAUCAAAAACAGGCAAAACUAAUCCAUGGUGAUAGAGGUAACAAUGAUUUUGGGGGGCAAAUACUGACUGGAAGGGAACACAAAGGAGCCUAAUGAGAUGCUGAAAAUGUCUCCUAUCUUUGUCUGAGUGUGGAUACCUCCUUGGUGUAUACAAAUGUAAAAAUUCAUCAAGUUGUAUGCUACUUAGGAUUGAUGUAGUUUACUGUAUGUGGGCUAUACCCUAACAAAGAGAUGAAUGAAGAAGUGGACAGAGGGCUCUCUGGAGUUUCCUCUACUAUAGCCCAAGGAAUAGGGGUUAGCGUGGGGAAGGCCCAUUCUCAGGUCCUUACAAAUUUAGAUGCUCCUCACCACCUCUUCUGGGGUAACUCUGCCUGACAGGAUCCCAUCUAAACAAUCUGUGCAUACUUAACAUUUUGAACUUGUAGGGACACACUUGGACCCCCCCAGAGUUGCUAUAGAAAUAUUUUAAAGUAGAAACAUUAAAGCAAUAGAAGAUGUAGAAAGAAAUGUAAUCUGAACUUCCCUUAACUAAAGCAGAGCCUUCCAAAAAUACACCUGCCAUUAGUGUCCUUCUGAGUGAUUUUCUAGCCAAUUCAGUCUGCCAUGGAGACAGACUGCCUAAUAGAACCUUCUGUACCCAUGGAAGCCCUAAACCCCCCACCCUUCCACUCCCACUCCUUCUUUAUGUUUGGUAUAUAAACCUUGAUAUCUGGCUAUUCAGUGAGUUAUUCAAUACUGAGCAACUUCCUGGUGCCCUUGUCAAUAAACUUGGUCUUUUCACCUGUUCAUCUGUCUGUUCUUAAUUAAUUUGCAGACCCUCAAUCAUCAGACCCAUGUUGAAGGAGAAAAAAGUUUUUCCUCCCAACAAACCCAGAACAACUUAGCUGUGGCCUGGAGCUGGGCUAUAUCUCAGUGGUCUAGCAGAUUUAUAACCUUGUAUUUUGAGGACAUUUGACCAAGUUGACUCUUUUAUCAGACUCUUGGCAGGACAGUGCUUUGGGCUUUACUUGAUAACCCUUGUCCUGAGCCAGGUUCAUCCCUAUAAUAUGCACUGGUUUCAUUGUGGACAGAGGGGUUCUAAACACUCUGAUGAAAGAGCCAGACCCAAAAGGCACUGAUGACAACUCCAUCCUUCCAGUUGUUCAAGCUGAGAAGUCUGUACUUAUUCUUGAUUUCUGUUUGUUUGACAUCCCACAUCAAUGUGGCAGGAAAUCAUGUGGACUCUAUUUUCAAAAUACAUCCAGAAUCUGAUCGACUCCCACUACUUCCUCUGCUACCUCCCCUGUCAGAGCCACCCUCCUGUCUUGCCUGGACUAGGGAAAAAGCUCCCAUUCUUAGUGCAGCUGCCAGACCGAUCCUUCUAAAGUUAGAUCCCAUGGCUCCAUCUGUUCAUAACUUCCCAGGCCCCAUCUGUUCCCACCUCACUCGGAGUACCAGUCCCAAGACUGGCAAAGCCCUGUAUCAUCUACACCCUCACUCUGUCCUCCUAUCCCUCAAAUCUGCCCCUAGUGUGCUCUAGUCACAUGGGCCUUUUGAUGCUCCUUGAACUUGCUCCUGCCUUAGGCCUCUGGACCUUUCUCUAGAAGUUCCCACUGCCUGGAAUGCUCUUCUCCAGGUAUAACUUUCUCACCAAUUUCAGGUCAGUGCUCAGCUCUCACCGUGCUAUUUCACACAGCAAGCUGUACCUCCCCCCUGCCUCCCCCCAAUACCAGGUUCCUUUUGUCUUUUUUCCUUCUUUUCCCCAUAGUAUUCAUCCCUACAUAAUUCACUUAUUUGUUGUGUUCAUUGUUUGCCAUCUGUCUUCACCAGGAAGUUAGUUCCAUGAGGUUAGGUAUCUGUUUUACUUAGUGACGUAUUGCAAAUGCUGGCAUAUAGUAAGUAUUCCAUAUAUGUUUAAGUUAACGAAACCAGCCUCCAAUGCUCGCUCAGGGUGAGAGCUGAGUUGGGCUGAAAAAAAAAAAAGUCCAGAAACUUUCUGGAUAAGUUUAUUAUGACCCAAGGGUCAAUAGUCAUGUGCCGGGGCACCUGUGUGGCUCAGUCAGUUAAACGUCCAACUUCAGCUCACGGUUCAUGAGUUUGAGCCCCAUGUGCUGACAGCUCAGAGCCUGGAGCCUUCUUUGGAUUCUGUGUCUCCCUCUCUCCCUCUGCCCCUCCCCCGCUUAUACUCUGCCUCUCUCUCUCUCUCUCUCUCUCUCUCUCUCUCUCUCACAAAAACAAAUAAAACAUUAAAAGAAAAAAAUAGUCAUGCGCCCAGGCUUGGAAAUUCCCCCAGAUGUAGAGGAAAAUGGACCCAGCAAAAUUCAGCAAACCCAGGGAGGUAUUUAGCCAGACUUCCCUCCCAGUAGGUUCCUGGUUAGAUCCCAUCACAGGCAACUGGGCUGGAGCUGAGAUGUUGUUCACUUAAAUGAUGACAGGAAAAAGGAAAUGGUGAGGGGAAGUCCGCGGUGGGCAUGAGAAAGGCACCUGAAAUGCAUCAGUCUGUAGAUUAAGCCACUGGCUGCUGGAAUGAGGAAGUCCCUCUCCCAGAUCUGGCAGGGCAGAGAGGUAGCUCACAAGGGGAGGGAAGUGGCAGAAAGGAGCUGCAUUCUUUCUUUCUUUUUUCAUUUCAGUGAUGUAUUUAUUUUAUAACUGGAAGUUUGUACCUCUUACUCCCUUCACUUUACCCAUGCCCGCAUCCACCUCUCCUCUGGCAACCACCAGUUUGUUCUCUGUAUUUAAGAGUUCUGUUUGUUUUUGCUGGAGUUUCUUCCGUCUUCUCUAGGGGGAAGCCCCACACUAGAUCUCAUGCUACAAGACAGGGCCAAACAGAGUUCAGGUCAUUGCUGUGGCCUGGGGCCUCCUCUCCUCUUCUGAAAUCCCCCAGGGGGAUAUCCAUCCUUCCUUUUGAUAAAGUGAAGGAUUUAGGUUGAAUGGGAGGGUAGAAAGGUUCAGCCUGUCGGGAAUACUCUACAGAUCAACCAUGUUUUUGGAACUGGGGUCCAAGAUCUCUGACUCCACGUCCUGGACUGUGUCCCAGGUGGACCUGCUCACGCUCUUCUCAUGGAGUCUCCCCCCACGUUCUGGAAUGACUCUCUCCUUCUUCCAGGCAGCAGAGUUUUGUUGUUGUUGUUGUUGUUUUUCAUCUCAAUGUAGGGUGAAGUUCCAGAAGACAGUGUUGUACACCCAAUGCAGAACCUCAGACUGCAUGGCCAAGAGGACCUUGUUGAUGGAAGCCCAGAGAGGGAAAAUAACUUGUCCAAGAUCACACAGUUCCUGGGCCACUCUUAAGGAAGGAGCUGGAAAGAGAACUUAGGUUUUCUGACUGCACUUUGAAGUUCCUUCCAGCAGUAAGAUUUUGUGAUUUCUUGAUGCUGAUCCACUCUACUAUAGAGUGGCUUUCGUCACAAAACUCUGGCCCUGACAUCCCCCAGGUACCUUGUCUGCUGCCACUGGCUGUGGCCACAGCAGCCCAUUCCUUGGCCCCUGGAAGGGGUGACAUUCUUUUCUAGGGUAUUUGGAAAUAUAUUCUUCAGCCUCAUUCCCCUUCUUAUAGCCAAAUCCCCUAAGCUUCUGUAAGUUGGCACCUUCCCACUUCCCUCUUCCCAGGCUCUGUGACUCCGAUCUGCACACUUUCCCUUUCCCUUCUCCUGGCUAGUGCCUUUCCAGUUCCACACCUCCAGUCUGGACAUGGUCUUGACUCUGGCAGGGAUGCAGAAUCACAGGAAUUAUUGGAAAGAUGUUAGAGAUCAGAGUCCUGCUCCACACUGUCUCCUGCAGAUUUUGGGGGGCUGUCCCUUCUCUCUACUGCUUGAGGAUCAGGAUAGAUGUCAGGGCUCUCAUUCAUUGAGCACCUAAGAUGUACAUGUAUUCCACGAGCAACCAGUAUGUAGCAGGCACUGUGUAAGAGACUUACUCUCUCAUGUCGUCCUCACAGAAUGGCCCAGCAAGUUAAAGAUUACUCCCAUUUUAUAGAUCAGGAGGUUGAGCUUCAGAAAGAUUCUUUAAUUUGCCCUAGUCAUAGAGCUAAUAAAGGGUAGGAUUAGAAAUGAAACCCAGAUGUGCUGAACUAAAAGCCUAAAUCCCAUGCACAAGGGGUGGGAGAAGAGGGAAGGGUUGUAGAAAGGGGGGAAAUGUGAAACACUAUCUUCCAUGGCCUCCCUGGCUGCAGGACUGAGGGGUGAAUAUCACUGUGGGAAUGAUUUUAUAUCUUCCAAUCAAACUUCAGAGAGGAGAGGUCACUGGGCCAGGGAGGCAGCAGGGGUAUUUUGCUGACAGCCCUUGACAUGCACCCUGCUACCUCUCAGCCUGUGCAUUUAUGAUCACCUGGCUGCUUCUGGAAACUACCCAGCCACACCAAGGCAGGUAGCCCGCCCCUCCUCUCUGGGUUGAGGAAGCAGGAAAAGGUGGCAGUGAGAGGCUUUGGGCAGACGUGCUGGGCAAUGAUGGCCGGAGCUCCUGUUAGGAUGGGCUUUCUCUGGGGCCUGGCUCUGCCCCUUUUCUUCUGCUGCGGGGCUGGGGCCCCUGGGAGCUCUGCAGGUAAGGAGGUGUGGGCUGCUCUCCUCACAGGGCUCUGGGUGUGAGUUUCUGUACCGGUAGCCCUUUGUGGUUGAUUAAUUAGAAUUAACCAUAAAGCUACAUCUGAAGUAUUACUAUUGUUGAUAAAGAGUGUGCAAAUGGCAGUGUGUCAGCUUACGCAUGUAUGACACUGCAGUCCGUAGGAUGAAUGAUGUCCUUGUGCCCUAGCUGCCGGUUGUCUCUGCGGGGAGUGUGUGAGGUGGAGGGGUGGGAGGGGCGAGGGAGGUGCCGGCAGGGAAUAAAUCUGACUAAAGCCAAAGAAAGCAGCUUGACAAGAUUCCAACUCCUCCAAGUUUAUUUCCUAGCCCAGAUUUCCUUUAAAAAACAGUUUUGGUGUGAAAAGUCCAACUGUUACAGACUGCCUGGGGAGGGCGGAUUCUGAGAAGGGCAGGGCUUUUAUGAAAGAGACUGACAUGGAUGUGUCAUAGGAACUGUGCCAUGCUUGUCACAUGCAUUGUCUUUAUUAUUUUUUUAAUAGACUUUUUAUUGUAGAGCAGUUUUGGGUUCACAGCAAAAUUGAGCAGAAAAAACAGAGAUUCGGUUCACAUAUAACCUCUGCACCCCCCCAUACCUAAUAUCCCCUCAUUAUCAACAUCCUGCAUUAUCUUUUUCUUUUUUUUUUUAAUUUUUUUUUUAACGUUUAUUUAUUUUUGGGACAGAGAGAGACAGAGCAUGAACGGGGGAGGGGCAGAGAGAGAGGGAGACACAGAAUCUGAAACAGGCUCCAGGCUCUGAGCUGUCAGCACAGAGCCCAACGCGGGGCUCGAACUCACGGACCGUGAGAUCAUGACCUGAGCUGAAGUCGGACACUUAACCGACCAAGCCACCCAGGCGCCCCUAAUGACUAUUUUUUACAGCAGUUUUAGUUUCGCAGCCAAAUUGAGAGGAAGGGACCGAGACUUCCUAUAUGCUCCCAUGCACCAUCUUUUUAAUCCUCUCGGUAACCUCAUGAGAGAGACACGGGUCUUGUUAUUACCCGUCUCUCUCCACAAGAUGGGACUGAGGCUUACCAUCUUGCAACUCAUCUGCAAAGCCAGAAUGUUAUUCCGCAUGUGCCUACCACUAGGACCACGUUGUCUCUUGCACGCGCUCAUGACCUGCCAGGCUUGUGCUGCACAUUUUACAUUUAAUUGAACUUAGUCUUCACAACCCUAUGAAAUAGGUACCUGUAGCUCCAUUUUAUAGAUGAGGAAAAUGCACGCUUGAGCCAGGAGACUUGGUCGGGGUCACAUGAUUGGUAAGCAGCGGAGUAAACAGCAGAGAAGGGACUCAAACUCAGGAUCUAUAGUACACAUGCCUUCCUCUCUGCUUUUUUGAUCUGAGGAAUGGACCAAGAAAGCUGCAGCAUUCUAGAGCUGUAGAGGAUUGGGUAGGCUUUGCUGUGUUUGAGAAGACCUCUGGUGGGUAAGAAACUUGGGUGGGGUUGUGAGAGCCCCGAGGGGUGUGAAGAAGCUACGGGGUUGGAAGCAUCAGGAGGUUUCACAGCAGGAUGGUAUCACAGGGUUCCAGGAAAAGGAAGAAAAUACUUCAGGGGAGGUGGAUGGUCAGACCCCAAGAGCACCACUGGUUGGGCUCUAGGCUGGGUGGGUUG
rnacentral:lncRNA from 1 species